GGCCCCAGGAUGACAAUCACAUCCCAAGCGCGCCGAUCGCUUCCAACUUUGCUCUCCUUUUGCUAACUCUGGGCGGAGCGGCAAUCUCGACGUACAACUGGCCUUAGUCUUGGCUCGGGCCGUUCGGGAACACAAAGGGAAAGAUGCAGCGGGCUGCGCUCGGGAGAACGCUCUGCGCCCUCCUCGCCAGUGCGAAUAGCGAAGUUGGCGGACGUCUUGUUCUCCCGAGAGCUGGGCUGGGAGGUGGUUUUUCUCCCUCCACGCUCCACAGUGGCUUCUCCCUCCUGCCGGAGGUCUCUAGGUUGAGCUGGAGACCUGGAAUUCAGAUCCCAGGGAGAGUCGAUGGAUGCCGGCGCUCAGGGCACAGCGAGGCCGAGAUGACCGCCUUUCUGCGCCAGCAACUGCAGCAGGUGGGCAAGAGCCAGGCCUAAGUAGAAGGGGCCCCGCUAGCCCUUCCUUCCACCCAUCCCUGGCAGACGACGAGAAGAGGCUAGAGAGGAGACUCUGGGGUCUCUGGCUGGGGGUGUGACUUUUCUCUGGAACGAGGAAGGCAGUGGGCAAGAAGUGCCCGACGGAGAAGCUGUUCUACCCGAGUCGGUCCCCCAGACGCCCCCGGCCCCUUGCCAUCCCAAGUAGCGAUGCCUGCUUCUCAUGUCUAGCCACGAGCAGCUUGCCCCGUCAGAAUCACAGUUCUUAACGGAGCCCCUGACUGCCCGGUGGAAGGAGGUGAUUUAGAAGACAGUGAGCACAGGAUGUUUCUUGGCUUCAAACCAUUUGGAUAAGUGAUGGCAGCAAGCUUCGCCACUGUAAAGUCACCUCUUUGUAAGAAGACAGGAGCUCUUUGUAAAGAAUAUGAGACCUGAGGCUGGGGGAUGGCUGAGAAGGGAAAAGCACCUCUGCACAAGCGUGAGAAAAGGAGUUUGUUCUUCCACAUCCAUGUAGAAAUCUUGAUGCCGUGCCGUGAACCCCAGCUCUCCUACGGGAAGAUGGGAGGCGUAGACAGGAGUUCAUCUGGAAGCUUGAGGCCAGCCACCCAGAUCCUCAGAGCUGCAGACAAAAGAGAGGCCCUGCAGCAAAAGAGUGGAAGGUGAGAACCAACUCCGGAAAGUUGCCCUCUGACCUUUACAAGUGUAUACAUCCACACACAUACAAUAAAAUCAAUUGCUCAAUCACGUA
rnacentral:lncRNA from 1 species